rnacentral:rRNA from 1 species
CCUACGGGAGGCAGCAGUGGGGAAUAUUGCACAAUGGGGGAAACCCUGAUGCAGCGACGCCGCGUGAGUGAAGAAGUAUUUCGGCAUGUAAAGCUCUAUCAGCAGGGAAGAAAAUGACGGUACCUGACUAAGAAGCCCCGGCUAACUACGUGCCAGCAGCCGCGGUAAU